rnacentral:lncRNA from 1 species
GCCGACGUACCUGAAUCCAAGCUCUGAUGCUAUGUAUCGUGGUCCAUCACCGGUCAGGGAUGCUUCAGGUUACGUAAUGGCCUCACCGCAGCUAGAGCAACUACAGCAGCAACAAUCCCAUCCCCACCUUAAUCAACAACAGCAACCACAGCUCACCUCGGCGAACCCCCACUACAUCCACCACCACCCGGCGGCAGGUACAGUCGUUCCCAUGCCUUCCUACUACUCUAUUGCGGCCCAUUCGAUGCAGCAAUCGCCACAAACCUAUCAAAUCGAUCCUCAGAUUCCAAUGUACUACAUGCCUGUCCGCCAUACCUCGCCAUACACUUUGGGAACAGUUCAGCCCAAUUUAAUGGAUCCCAAUUAUAUAUCAUCAACCGCUGCGCCGGCUUCCGGAAUCGUGACAAAGCCUGACUUAACGAGCUACUAUAAGACAGCGGCCACAGCACCUGCACCUGCUGCAAUGCAGCCACAGCUAAUCCGUGUAGCCGCCAAUCAAACCCACCCCUAUGCCGGAACAGGGUAUAAUGUGAUACAACAUCCCCACCUGUCUCAGACCCCUGCAACAAUGGCUAACUUUGGUUAUGAAGCUGCCGCGGGUCCUGUCCAUCCCCAGAUGUACUAUUCUCAGGUCUCUUCACAAGCUGCAUUGUCGCCACAGUAUCAGACGGUGAGCUCCACAACUACGAUUCCUG